ensembl:lncRNA
CAAAAGUCUUAGGCACCUUAUUUUUUUUUAGUACAAACUUUGUUAUAGAUUUUUAUAUAGACUUCUACAAAAACAUGUUAGAUUCCCAAACAUUAGUUUUCCAGCGCAAAAUUAAAUGUUACAGAAAAAUGUGUCAGUAAAAAAAGCAGCAUAUUAAGUGGUAAGAGACGCUUCUCAGACAAAAAAAAACACAACGAAGGCUACUGGAUUUUGCUGCAAAAAUAAGAAGCAAGUGCCACAGUCAAAGUCUCCAGAAGAACUGUGGCUGGUUCUGCAAGAUGCUCAGUAAAACUUAACAGCUAAUUUCCUAAUAAAACUGCACUAAUUCUACCUGAGAUUACUUUAUUUAUUUAUUUUUAAAGCAAAGGAUCAUCACACCAAAUAUUGACUUUGUUUCAUUUAUUAGUUUUUACUGCCCUUUAUAGUAUUUUUUAAAAUGGAGAAACAUUUAUAUAUUUAUAAAUUCACAUUUAAGACACAAAAACAUUUAUUUAUUGAAUGCCCUAACAAGUGCCCUUAGACAUAUAUUAUAAAUUUGUUUUAUGGAAGAUUUUUUCCAUUCUUUUCUCAGUUGAGAGAAAUGUCAAAAUUAGUGUCCGUUACUGAUGUGGUAGAAAUUCCUUUAGGAUCUAAAUUAGUGUGUGCUCUGGUGGCACACACUAAUUCUUUGAACUCAGCCUUACACACUAAUGCCUGUGGCACAAAGGCUGUACUUAGCCAGCCACAGCUCACUCACUGCUGUUUAGCUCUAUCAGCUGUUCAGUUCUAAAAAGCAUUUCUUUAAACUAACAGCAGUGUUCUGUCUUAUGGAGCUGAUCACCCAAUUGGGAUCAUUUGCCAAGACUGCCAAAAUUUUCUCUGAAAGAGUUUGUGUGCAAGCUCAUUAGUUAUUAGCUGCCAGACAGUGAUUUAACUUCCUGUUUGGAGAAACUUAAGGGACUCAUUAAAGUCACUGGAAAUAAUUGCGCCAUUUCAGAAAACAUCCCUUUCCACAUUGCAGGUACUUCUUACUUCUACUUGUGCUACAGGGCACAUGGAACUCUGAGUAAGCAUUGGCUAAAACUUUCUCAACUAACCAGAGUGAGACACAGCAACGCUAUCUAAUCAGCCUGGAGCUAAACAGAGCAGCAGCAGACACCUGAGCUGAGCUUUGCUCAAGGCUGAUAAAUGAUAAAUGCUUGUGCUAUGAGCACAUUGUAUCUUUGCUCGAACUUUAAUCGGUGAGUUGACAUGUUCCUGUACUUUGAAUUAACUAUUCUUAGAUGCACUGGAAUAAAUACUGUAAGGCAUGAGGUUUUCAUGCCAAAUCGAUAGACAUGUCUGUUUAGUGUGCUCUGUUACAGCAUGCAUCCUGUGGAACAUUUGGUAAAGUAGCUCCAUCUGGGAUGAACUUAAUAACCUCUGCCAUUCGCCCCUUCUCUCCCUCUGUCUCCCUUAUACUUUCUGAAUUUUCCUCCUGUUUUUUCACUGUCUCAGUGGUUUUCCAUCAGCCCAUACUAUCAAGCUCUUCGCAUUUCCUGUCUGACCCCAGAACAAUUAAACCCAGCUACUUUCUCUCUAAUUGUUCAUAAGAGGUAUUGGAUGUAGACCUGAAGAAAAAAGCUUUGUCACUGUCAAAAGUUAUAGUAUUACAGCAUAAACAAUGUUGGGGCCCCAUUUUCCCCUCAGAACAAACCACAUCCAAACAGGAAGGUUCAAAAGAGCGACCAGAAAUUUUUAAUAACAAGGACAGAAUGACAGAAUGUGAAAGAGAAAGAAACAGAAGGAGGAAAGUUUUCUUUGUACAUUUAAUUAUCUGUGUCCAUUAAAUUUUAUGCCGAAUUUACAGCAUACGAUCAGCCCAAUUUUGCCGUCACAGACAUCAUAAAACAAUUCUUUGGUCAUGAGUUAAAAUCGGAGGUCUUAGAAUACAUAUGAUGCUCUCAUCAGUGACCGAUUUGGUGCCACUGUGACCAAAGACAGCCGACGACAAGGUUCUGGCAGCAAACUUUAUUAUCUCAAGCACACUUGGAAGAAUAUUUCUGUUUAUGUGACCCCGUUUUAAGCACAAGCCCAGAACCCACUGAUUGUUAAUGUACAACCCCAAUAAAUAAAAACAGAAUGCAAUGAUUUGCAAAUGUCAUAAACCCAUAUGUUAUUCACAGUAGAACAUAGAAAACAUAUCAAAUGUUUCAACUGAGUAAAUGUACCAUUUUAAGGUAAUUUUGAAUUUGAUGGCCGCAGCACGUCUCAAAAGUUGGGACAGGGGCAACAAAAGGCUGGAAAAGUAAAUGUUAUUAAAAAGGAACAGCUGGAGGUUAAUUGGCCUUAUUUUUUUUUUCUUAAAGCUGUUUUUUUUUUUUUACCUUAUUUUUUUCUUAAAAUGGUACGUUUCCUCAGUUUAAACAUUUGAAAUGUUUUCUGUGUUCUAUUGUGAAUAACAUUAUCAUGGGUUCAUGAGAUUUGCAAAAUCAUUGCCUUCUGUUUUCAUUUACAUUUUGCACAGCAUCCCAACUUUUUUGGAAUUGGGGUUGUAAGCAGAAUGUAGUCAUUGUUUUAAUGGCAGGUCUAUCGUUAGGUUAUCUUUAUCAUAUAAUCUUAAUAAUCAUAAUAAUUCAACAUGGAAUAAUGCAAAAAAUAAAAUCCAUACAUACUGCAUAUUGACAUGCUUUGUUGGGGUCAGAAGAGAAUUCCCAGACUGGUUCGAGCUCACAUGAAAGCUACAGUAACUCAGAUAACAGUUGUGAGCAGAAAAGCAUCUCAACACAUGUCAAGUCUUGAGGCAGACGGGCAGCAGAAGACCACAUUGAGUUCAGUGGAGAACAGAAAUCUAAGGCUAUAGUGGCCACACGUUCACUGAAACUGCACAGAAUAAGAUUGGCAAAAGACCAUGUAAUGUUCUUCCAAUGUACAACUGUCUAAUUUUGGUGAACCUGUGUGCAAUAAACAAAAUGAUCUGCCAAAGGAACACACCAAUUUAAAAUCAGUAAAGUGUCUAAUAGGCUCUAUAAUAUUAGAUUUAUUUCACUGUUAUCUUAAUAAUUGGAAAUAUUAGAUCAAUUCAUCUAUAUUCGAGAUAUUAUCCGUGCUAAGAUUAGUUGUUGCAUUAUUCCAUUUUUUUUUUAUUAGAUCCCAAACCUCUACUAAACCUAGUGACUUUUAUCAUUACAUAGGUUUAAUUUGUGAAGAAUGUGUUGUGACUGACAGCAGGGUAAGCAGAGGACUAUUACAGGCAGAGUUCCCUUCUCUUACCUGCUCACAGCAGGAAUGGAAAUCAAGUGGUAGAAUGCUGUUUUGGAUUAAACACUAGAAAGCAAACUUGUAGUAACACACACUUCCCAUAGUUUAAAGCACAUAAAAAGCAAUUAAUGUCUGCUCUGGGAAAUUAAGUGGGGAAUUAAAACAUAAAUAGAAAAUGACACGCUGGAAAUUACACUAGUUCUCCAUAAAUGACUGUCUAAUUCAAAAGACUGACCUAUGUCUGUGUGUGUGUGCUAUAUGCAAAUAUAAUUUUAAUAGUUGAAGAAAGACAACAUUCAUUGUGUGUGUGUCCCACUGGAAAAAUAGCCAGGGGGCAGAAACAACUCUGUCAAUAGUAUAAAAUCCUUUGCUUCUGGAUGUAACAACUUUAAUUAAAUUCAUCCAGGUUGUGUGUGGCCGUAAUCCUUAUCUCUCAAACUGUUUAAAAUUUGAAAUAAUGAGGUUGGUUUUAGGGCACGGCUCUAAAAUAAUAGGUCUGUACCUCUUUGUAAUGGUGGUUUGCCACAAAACACCACAAAGAACCCAAGGGGAAGUCAAGGUUACAUUCUUUCCUCAGCAACCUGGUAUUACAGUACAGUAAGUUUGGAAUACCAAAAUCCUGAAAGGACUGUAGGAUUAAAAAACAAAACAAAACAAAACAAAACAACAACAAAAAAAACACAAAAAAAACUUUCAAAAGGAUUUGUUUCUGCUUCCAGUAUCAAUUCCUUUUCUUCAUUUUAUUACUACAACUUUAUUAGCAUAAUGUGAUUUUUACACAGUUUUUUUUUUACAAGACAAAGUGUCUGCCAAACAGUGUACAUAAUACAUAUUAUUACGCAGUAUUCAAAGAUAAGUGUGUGUGCGUUGGGGGGGGUUGUGUUUGGGCUGGGUUAUUAAAGAGGGCUGGCUAUUUUCUGCAAUAUGUCUUGUGCACUGGGGCCAUGCUGUACCAGGGAAGGCUACUGCAGUGUUCAUUCACUGUCUCUGCUUCCUCUGUGUAGUAAUCAGACAGCCAUUAGAGAUGGCAGCAAAAGCCAUCUUUUUUUUUUUCCCCUGUGUCCUUAGAUGAACUAGUAUCCAAUUUGCCCCCCCCCUCUCUCUCUCUCUCUCUCUCCCUCUCUCUCUGAAAUCCAUUUUCGUACAAUCGCCUCUGCUUUCUCUCAUUCUCAAUUCAAUUCAACAACGCUUUAUUGGGAUAAAUGCUGCUAGUUAUAUUCUGGUCAGACCAGUUAAUAUAUCCAUACAGAUGAGAAAAAACACCUGACAUUUUAAUAAUUUUAUUUUAAGCAGGUCUUUGAGGAAUUGCUUCACUGGUUGUCCUAGAUAAGUGGAAAGAGCUCACAAACCAGACAGUAUUGGAGUUUGUUUUGGUUUUUAACAGCAAUUCUGUUAAAUAAUCUCUCUCUCUCUCUCUCUCUCUCUCUCUCUCUCUCUCUCUCUCUCUCUCUCUAUCUAUCUAUCUAUUAUUGCUGAGGCAAAAAUCCAACUGACUGGCUGGUCAGUGAUUUAUAAUAAAAUAAAUUGGUGUUGCUAGUUUGUUAAUAUUUUCAAAUUCAUUUUCACUCUAUUUUGAAUACUGAAUAGUAGAUAGUAUUGUCCUAAUAUAGCCUUUUCAGUGUUUUUCCUCUGCAUUUUGAGGAAAUGUUUACAGAAUUUGGCAUGCAGGGUUUCAACUGGGUGUUUGUUAUAGCUUGGGACAUCAGAUUAAUUCACAUCAAACCAAAACUUGCACAUGUAUGUGUUGCAGUAUGAGAGUUGCUUAAGUAUUUUAUCUGAAAUUUACAAUGAAAAAAAUUGACAUAAACUACUAUACUAUGCUCUCACUCUCUUGAUUUGUUCUCUUCUUGAGAACUCUAUUUCUAUUGUAGUAUAUGUAAUAUGUACUUCACCGCAUUGCCUCAUUCAUGACCCAAAUAAAUAUUAGCGAGAAUUUGUUCACAUACAGUACACCUUCAGACCAUCUCUGUCCACGCCUGAAUCGCUGCUGUUCUCUGCCACUUUCAUCCCUCUUUUACUUUCUCUCUUCUGCCUCUUAUUUUCCCUCUCAAGCUGAUGGAAGAGGGUGGGGUCAAUCUGCACCAGUUGCCAUGACACCAGACAGCCCUUGCUUGGUGAAGGCACGUAGUUUCCUCUGUUCUAUUUCCCCAGAGCUUUCUACGGGGGAGAGUAUGUGUCUGUGUGUGACAGCAUUGAGCGAGAAAAAAGACAGAGACAACAAGUGUGUGCUUCACAUGUCAGUUAUGUUAAAUGACAAAUCGUUCAAAUGUGAAGUCUGCAGGUAGUAUGUAAUAAGGUAAUGAGACACCUCUCAUUUAGGAAAGCUCUGUCCUUCUAAGCUAUACCAUGGCAGAAAAAAGUGAUACCAUUUAAUGGUUGCUACUGAAAUACUUCAGAAAAUAUUUUACAUUCUGACCAAUACAUCACUGGUACACACUCGUGAUUGCACUAGAGAAGCAGACUCUUUCUCUCUCUCUCUCUCCCUCUCUCUGCGCUAUCUAUCCCAAAGCAGGAGCACUGAUGAAUAAUUUAGCAGUUGAUAUUUGCAGCCAUCUGUUUCUCUUUUCCUCGCCAUCAGUCUUACUCGCAAUGUUCUUUUACGCUGUGCCGUGUCACCAAACAAGAAGUACUGCAAUAAGAGGGAGGGGGUCUCACACCACUGACCAGGACUGGAUUCAUUACAACACUGAGCGUCUGUGUCUCUGAGGUGCUCAUCAUGGAGAACUCAUUAAUCAUUCAUGAAUCAUUUCACACCUGUAAUUCGCCAUGGGUAUUUAAGGUUUAUUCUUAAUUAGCAUAUAUUUAAUUAAUCUGUGCAUUAUCCGUUUUGAUGAAACACCGUAACACUUUCACUUGUACUUGCAUCACUAUGAACUUUGUUGUUUCCCUUCUCAAAUGCUAUCUGUAAUAAAUAUAAAUCAACAGAAACAUUUCAGCUGUAAUGAAUGGGUAUGGACUUCCUGCUGUGUCAAAUCUAUUGCAUGGAAAGAGGUGUGAAAUUGGCGUUUCAUAUGACUUGUAUGCAUUAACUAGUUAACUCUUUGCACUAACGGCCAGUGACCAAUAGAGGGAGACGCAGAGCCCACAGCCCGGGCCACAAUCUUGUGCUUUUAUUUAGCGCCAUUUAAUGAAAACACUUAAGACUGGCCUGUUAUUUGAGUACACCAGAUACUAUUUGAAAAUAAUAUUUCAUGUCAUAAUUUUGCUGAGGAAGCCAUAAUUAUACUAUAGAGAGGACCAGAACAAACAAAUAAACUGGAGUGGAGUUCGUUGGAGAGACUCCUAAAUGAUCUAAAUGAUGACCGUAAAGGACUCCAGCCUUUGGUCAAACAGUGUCUCCUUUCUCCCAAAAUUACAGCUUGUGCAGAUCAAGCUCUUGGUGGACAGCCAGCACAAGCGGAGUCUUUGUUCAGGUGAAAUUCCUCAGUACUAUCUGCACCCCCACCAAAGUCUGUGGCUGCCUUUGGUUUAAUUAGGUCUCCUGGAGCGGGCAUCAAACCACCUCCCACUCCCACCACCCCUCCAACCCAACCCUGAAUUAUUCCCACACAGAAGCAACUGGAACAGCAAGACAAUAAGAGCUCCAGUAAAAGCAAAGGUGUAUCCACAGCAUCUCCCUCUAGCAGUGUGCUGUGUUCAGGAAUGCAACACUACCACUGAAAUAUGCAUCCAGACUAUGCAGUCGCACUGCUGAUUGCAAAUGCAGGUUUCUGAAAAUAAAACAAGAGAUGAUGGCUGGUGGAAAACUGGGCCAGCACCGAGUUCAGGUGCAUGUGUGUGUGAGGUUAAAGACCAAGUCGUGUUAUCCCCAAUGACACUAACAGCAGCUCCUGUCCUCCAGAAAGAGUAGGUUUGAUAGACUAUGGCGUGGGGUUUAUAAGUGUGAUUCUUCUAUGUACGCUAAAAAUGGCAGAGCUCAAACCGGCACGGGAGGGAGGAGGUCAAACGUUCAUUUUACACUGCCUUUACACAAACUGACAGAUGCUGUCUGCUUUGAUCUAUCUUUAGCCUAUCCACACCUAUCUGUGGGCCACUGUCCGGAAAGCUACUUAGAGAUUCUGCCUGUUCUAGACCCCUAAGAGUGCCCAUACAGAAUGCAAUCGCCCAGAAAGACUGGGGGAAGGGUGGACUACAUUCAGCACAACUGACUAAUUGCACGGCACUGUGGGAAACACAGAUGUAAUGCAUUUGUAGUAUUCCUGUUAAAGCCUAUGUAACAGUGUCAGCAGAGGAAGAGACUGACGCUGAAUGAGUAAGAGAGUAGACACUGAGAAUGAGAGAGAGAGCGAGAGAGAGAGAGAGAGACACACACACACACACACACAAACACACACAGAAGGGACAGACAGACAUAGCCUGAGAGGAGCACAAUGGCGGCGGUGGUAGCAGCAGGAGCAAGAAGAAAUGUGCCAGAGCAGAGCGGGAUGUGCGCUCUCUCGUCCCGAGCACACCGCGGCCAAGCUGAACUGAGUGAACUACAUCCGAGUGCUUGCCAUGAGGUCAGAGAGUCCAACAUUCCUCUGAAGCUGUGUGUUUACACUGCUCGGAGAAAUAGGGAGUCAGCAAGGGGGUGUAUGAGGGCCUUACAGGAAGGGAAACAAAUCAGCUCCAAGCCGCACUACACAAACCAUGUGCGGUUGGGAGGCCUUCUACGGCACAGCUAGACCUCAGCACUUAUUCAUUCACUGCCUGAUCACAUAGGUGGUGGUUAGGGGAGUAGAUACAGAAUACAACAGCCGCAUGGUCAACAAUCCUAAUCCUCUUUCAGGAUUUGGCUUGCAUUUAAUUUAUAUUACUGUUCUAAAUGUGUUAACAGCUCCAGAGAAAAGAGCAUGAGUAGUACAGAUCACGUAAUCUGAUGUUCGCUUUAUUUCCCUGAGGAGGACUGGAAAUUCAGCUUAUAUUAAAAGAUUAGAAGGUGUUCUGACUCACAAUAUGUGUUUUUCCAGCUGGAACAAUUACUCAUCCUUCUUUUGUACAGAUUCUAAUCAAUAUUUGAAUACAAAUUCAAAACAAGAGUCUGAUAAUUGUUCACAAUUUUAAAUUUGGUAUUUUAAAUGUGAAAAUUAAUCAGUUUGUAACAAAUCAAAUACAAAAAAAAAUUAACAAUGUUACUGUAGUUAUACAAAUCUUUUAUAACUACUCAAAACCUUGUCUGGGAUUUCUGUGCUCAAAGAAGAAAAAAACAAUACUGUAGAAUUGGAUUUUAUGCCAAUUACAGUAGGUAUACUGUAUACACAAUUUAUUAUGAAUUAUGAUACGUACUCGAUCUGCUGUGAAAAAUGCCUUCUAUAAUAUGACUGCAAAAUCUCUAGCAUUUAUUUUGAAAAUGUAAAAGAAGGCAAAUGUUAUUGUAUUUUUUGGUUAUAUGUAUAUUGUGUAUAUGUAUAAUCCACUUGCUCAUCAAGUGUGAAUUGUAUAAUGUUUUAAAUUAUAGACAGAAAAGGAAUAUUAUAGGAAUAUUGUUUCAGUUUCUGUAAAAAACAAAACAAAACAAAACAAAACAAAAAAACACAAAAUACUACAACUGAUUUCGUCUUGGUCAACAAUAUGCAUACGCAUAAUAAAAUGCUACUCUAAAUUUUUUUUUUUAUUAUAAAGCACCAGCACCUUACAAUAUCUGUUAUGCACAGUACUGAAUGUCAUAAAUGUGUAACAAAUGUAUCUUAUACACAAUACAGAGGGGCUGAGGUAUAACACUGCAGCCACCAGAACGAGCUUCCGAGCAAAGAUGUACAGUUUCUUCCCCCUCCUGUUCAAAUAGGAGAACUACACAAUACAUACAGUAAAAGAGAAGACAUACUGUAUGUAGCAUAAAAUAAUUUUCUUAGUUUUACAAUGCAGAAAGAUUGAAUUUUAGAUUGGUCAAUUAGAUCGAAUUAAACCACAAGAAUAACACUGCACAUAAUAUAAAAAUACUGUCAAUUCAACACUAUUAGUACUGCUAUUUAGAAACCUUUAUCUACUGAGGACUUGGACGUUUCUGCUUUUAUUCCAAUUUAAGCUUUAGGCUUUUACCUAUAUGCAGAAGUGAAAAAUAAAUUUAAAUGACAUCAUACUCAUGGAAUGGCAAGGUUGGUAAGAAAUAGUGGUACACAAUGAAAGUGCACUUAAGAUUGUUCCCUGAAUAAAUAAUUGAUAUAUGGUUUGAAAGGACUAAUAAACACCAAAAAAACAAAAAACAAAAAACCCCAAAACAUCUCACUCAGUCAUAAUUAAUACUUUGACUCUCUACUCACUAAAGCAGCAGAGAUGAAGACAUUGGAUUCUACAGUCCCUGUAAUCGAAAUAAACACUACAGGUAAAUCACAUUACAUAUCCCUGUACAAUUGUUUAUUAAGAUUACCAGAAAUUCAGAGCGGAGAGACUGAAGGACAGAAAUAAUCUAACAACAGCAGUCUCAAGUGUGUUAGUCCAAUUAACACUUCAUACACAUUCCAGCCAGUGUUUUUUUUUUUUUUUUUUUUUUUUUUUUAAAGAAGUCAAUGAGUUCAUCUCAGCUGCAAAAACCCGGAGUUGUGUGUCACUCUGAGUCUACUCUGCGUCUCUGAAGGUGCUCAAGUGUCAUGCUCUGAAGUCCAGCCAUGGACAGGAAAUGGAGCCGGGGUGGGGUGGGGGGAGGAAGUCCUCUCAGCUUUUAAAUGUUGUACAGGAUUUCUCUUACAUUCUUUUUUUUCCCCCCGACCAUUUUCUGGCACUUCACCAAUGUUGGAUAGAAUGGACUGGCAAGCAUUCAACUGGUUGCAUGUUACUACUUCUUGAUAAUGUAAAGUUGCGUUUUUUAUUUUAUUGUUUAGUUACACACAUGGAUGUGAUAUAGAUGUAAAAAAAAAAGAAAAAAAAAGUUCAAAUUACUGAUACUUGAUAUUACGAGACUGAUUAAGUUACAUUUACUGUGGAUUCAGUGAGUGCAGCAAUGCUUUAUUUUAACGGUCAAUUCAUUGAUAUCUAAACAGGUUUCAUGGAACUAGAAAAAAAGACAUUAAUUUUACUACUGUCACAGCAUUAAAAUAAAACACUCGAUUAGUCUCUACUUUUAAGUAUAGCUUAGAGUGCUAUUUGCAAAACCCUCUUUGUGUAAAAAAAAAUAAAAAUAAAAAUUUAAUAUGAAAGAAAUUUGAGAAUCUGAAUAACACUAUAAUAUCAAGAUGCUUUAUACUUGUUGUAAACUACAGAAGUUUUAAGAGUACUCCAUCCCUACUUUUUUUUUUUACUUUACUAGUCACAAAUAUAAAUUAAUUCCUUUCACAUUAAAUGCAUCUGACUUAAUCAGACUGUGAUAUGCUGAUAUUUUUUGCUGAUCUCUUUUUUACAGCAGAUAAGAUAAUCACGUCAUGCUUUUCAGGUUAAAGCGGUGUAUUAAUGGGAGGGGAAAUUGCUAAUAAAUAAAGGCACUUACAAAUAAGGUGUGUUAAAACACAGUAAUAAUAUGCCCGGAGCCCAGAAGCUGAAUGAACUAUCAGUGGAGUGCAGAGAGAGAUGUAACUAAUGGAUGGGAUAACGGAGGACGGAAAGCAUAGUGCAGAGUGAGCUCUGGAUAAGAGACACCUCAGCAGGACAGCAGCUCUCUCUCUCUCCGCCUUGUCCAUCUCUGUGCUGGACUCAGCGGUUCCUCGGAGGCCUUGUAUGGCAGGCUUUUCCCCUCAUAUUGACAGACUGCUUUAACACAAUAGCUAGCCAUGGCUUUGAAAAUGGAUGUCCUCCUCCCUCUGCACCCCUGCGCUGAGCCCAACGCCUAGAACUUCGGUUCCCUCACCAUGACACCCGCAUUCAGCCAAGAAGACAGACAGAGUAAACGUGGACAAAGGCAAGUGUGGAGGGAGAGUGCGAGAAAAGAAGAAAAGGGGCAAGUGAUAGCAAAGAAAAGAAGAUGAAUGGAAAUUGGGGGGCAAGAUCGACCGACCGUGCUCACCUUUUGUCCUGUCUCUCAAUUUUUUCUUUUUGUCUUAUUUUAAAUUUUUUUCCCUUCUCUCUUUUGUAGUAAUCCAUGAAGUUUUACCGAGAGAGAGAGACAGAGAGACAGAGAGAGAGAACGAGAGCAUUCUUAAAAGAGAGAGAGAAAAAUAGCUAAAGCUAGACAGCAGCUCCAGACAGGAAGAAACCUACAUUGGUUGUUACCGCUCUUCUCUGGUUCUUCUCUUUCUAAGUUUCCUGCCGUGCUCCCGCUUGGUCAGGUCCGGACUCGCUGUACUGUCAGAGAGAAGCAGUUGCAGCACAAUGACUUUCUAACUCCCCCCACCCUUCAUCCCCAUCAGCACCUGCAAGUGGAAAAGAAGUGACCAAGCCAGAGCAGCCAUUUAGCUGAAGCAUCACUUUCACUGCACGAUUGACAUCUGGGAAUGUUCCACUGUAUCCUAGCACCAGUCAGGACUUGCUGUACACCUGGUUUCUGGCACUAAUCUACUGAUGACAGAUGAUUGCAGUAAAACAGCCCCACGUACGCUCUCCCUGGUGCCUGGGAGAGAGAGUUGCUGCAGUCUCCUCUGCUAGGACAGCUCUUUUUCCUCUUUGGAUCAUAUGCCAAGCAUUGCCUGAUGAACCUUAAUCUGGAGCAGUGCCCAUGUGUUCAGACAAGUGGCAGGAUGAAGGAAGUAGGAAUGAUUACAGCAAGCAAAAGCUAGCAAAAAGUCCAAACAACCAAGCCUUAACUUCAGAGGAGCUGAUACCUGUGUCCUUGGUGGUCAGAGAACAUCUGCAUGCACAUGUCCUCACAUAAGCCAGGGGUCUGUGGUGCACAAAGAUACCUGAUCCAGAAAACAGGAGGAGCCCAGUCUUUGGUAAAUAU